GACGAACGCUGGCGGCGUGCCUAAUACAUGCAAGUAGAACGCUGAAGCGAGGAGCUUGCUCUUCUUGGAUGAGUUGCGAACGGGUGAGUAACGCGUAGGUAACCUGCCUUGUAGCGGGGGAUAACUAUUGGAAACGAUAGCUAAUACCGCAUAACCAUGGAUGACACAUGUCAUUUAUUUGAAAGGGGCAAUUGCUCCACUACCAGAUGGAUUUGCGUUGUAUUAGCUAGUAGGUGAGGUAAUGGCUCAUCUAGGCGACGAUACAUAGCCGACCUGAGAGGGUGAUCGGCCACACUGGGAGUGUGACACGGCCCAGUCGCCUACGGGAGGCAGCAGGAGGGAAUCGGCGGCAAGGGGGGGAACCCUGACCGAACAGCGCCGCGGGAGGAAGGAGGGUUUUCGGGUCGUAAAGCUCUGUUGUAAGUUAAUAACGCGUGUUAGAGUGGAAAGAUCACUCUGUGACGGUAGCUGACCAGAAAGCGACGGCUAACUACGUG
rnacentral:rRNA from 1 species